rnacentral:rRNA from 1 species
UACGUAGGGUGCAAGCGUUGUCCGGAAUUAUUGGGCGUAAAGAGCUCGUAGGCGGUGUGUCGCGUCGGCCGUGAAAACCUGCAGCUUAACUGUGGGCGUGCGGUCGAUACGGGCAUCACUGGAGUUCGGCAGGGGAGACUGGAAUUCCUGGUGUAGCGGUGAAAUGCGCAGAUAUCAGGAGGAACACCGGUGGCGAAGGCGGGUCUCUGGGCAACAACUGACGCUGAGGAGCGAAAGCGUGGGGAGCGAACAGG